UGUGUUGCCCAUAGUCACCACGCUGGGCAGGCGGGUUGGUGACCGCAGGGCUGGCUUUGUCGCACCUUAGACGCUGCUGCCCGUCUUCGGCCUGUGUGUUUCAAAGCCAGCGGUUAGAUGGUUAUCCCGCCAUCGGUCGGCUUCUUAAGUUCCAAGGUGGUAGUGGAACUGUGUUAUCCCUUAGUUGCCUCUUACGACACCCACGGGAAGAGAGGGGUGGCUAUAUUCUUAAUGCCGUAACC
rnacentral:misc_RNA from 1 species